rnacentral:rRNA from 1 species
CCUGACGACGCAACGCCGCGUGGAGGAUGAAGACCUUCGGGUCGUAAACUCCUUUCGAUCGAGACGAAUAGCCUUCGGGUGAACAAUCCGGAGGAAUGACGGUACCGAGAGAAGAAGCCCCGGCUAACUCCGUGCCAGCAGCCGCGGUAAUACGGGGGGGGCAAGCGUUGUUCGGAAUUACUGGGCGUAAAGCGCGCGUAGGCGGCUUUUUAAGUCAGAGGUGAAAGCCCGGGGCUCAACCCCGGAAUUGCCUUUGAAACUGGAAAGCUAGAAUCUUGGAGAGGUCAGUGGAAUUCCGAGUGUAGAGGUGAAAUUCGUAGAUAUUCGGAAGAACACCAGUGGCGAAGGCGACUGACUGGACAAGUAUUGACGCUGAGGUGCGAAAGCGUGGGGAGCAAACA